rnacentral:snoRNA from 1 species
ACCCUCCAGACCCCUUACCUAUCAGAUCUAAACAUCGGUCUGACUGGCUAUAAAAGGAAGAAAAGGAAAGAAGAAAGUCAACCCUAUCCUACCCAGCUGCCUGCGAGCAAGC